rnacentral:rRNA from 1 species
GACGCGCGUAGGUGGUUUGUUAAGUUGGAUGUGAAAUCCCCGGGCCGUCAACCUGGGAACUGCAUCCAAAACUGGCAAGCUAGAGUAUGGUAGAGGGUGGUGGAAUUUCCUGUGUAGCGGUGAAAUGCGUAGAUAUAGGAAGGAACACCAGUGGCGAAGGCGACCACCUGGACUGAUACUGACACUGAGGUGCGAAAGCGUGGGGAGCAAACAGGAUUAGAUACCCGUGU